UACGAAGGGGGCUAGCGUUGCUCGGAAUCACUGGGCGUAAAGGGUGCGUAGGCGGGUCUUUAAGUCAGGGGUGAAAUCCUGGAGCUCAACUCCAGAACUGCCUUUGAUACUGAGGAUCUUGAGUUCGGGAGAGGUGAGUGGAACUGCGAGUGUAGAGGUGAAAUUCGUAGAUAUUCGCAAGAACACCAGUGGCGAAGGCGGCUCGCUGGACCGGUUCUGACGCUGAUGCGCGAAAGCGUGGGGAGCAAACGGG
rnacentral:rRNA from 1 species